ACAGUGGUAGUUCAGUGGUAGAAUUCUUGACUUACAUGAGGGAAAGCUGGGUUCAAUUCCCAGCCAAAGUA
rnacentral:tRNA from 1 species